rnacentral:rRNA from 1 species
UACGGAGGGUGCAAGCGUUAUCCGGAUUCACUGGGUUUAAAGGGUGCGUAGGCGGCUAAGUAAGUCAGUGGUGAAAGCUUACAGCUUAACUGUGAAACUGCCAUUGAAACUGUUUAGCUUGAAUCUGGUUGAAGUGGGCGGAAUACAUCAUGUAGCGGUGAAAUGCUUAGAUAUGAUGUAGAACACCGAUUGCGAAGGCAGCUCACUAAGCCAACAUUGACGCUGAGGCACGAAAGCGUGGGGAGCAAACAGG